rnacentral:tRNA from 1 species
GUCCCUGUGGUUUAACGGAUACGACUCCGGCGUCCGAAGCCGGCAAUGCAGGUUCGACUCCUGCUGGGGGCA